ensembl:lncRNA
ACAUGUAGCACAUCAUUCUGCCACUGAAAACCAAGGCUGCAUAGAAGCUAUGGCAAUAGAGUGGAAAGAAGCAAAAAGCCCAUGAUAAUUCAAAAUACAAACAGAAUUCUCUAUGGAAGUACAGAAAUCAGAGUUAACUCAAAAGCAUACUCAGCAGAGUCAGUUGCUCCAGCAUUUCUGGCCAGCAUAUGCCAAGUUGCACAACUGUCAGCACAGAGAACUUCAAUUUUUUUUUCGAGCAAACAAAGUGCUUCAGUACUUGUUUCUGAAUAAAGGAAAGAAUGCCAGCUGCAAGCAACAAACUUGGGAAAACAAUGGGCACUAGACAUAUCCAUUUAAACGUACCUGAAGAAUUGGAGCCAUCAUUGCCCAAAUUGCCCAAUGCUCCCCAGUGCAAGGCUCUCCAUCAGUUAUUUAUAUCACUGUCAGGCCUUAGGCUGGAAGUUUACAUGCUGGGUGUAUGCCUGGAGCAAUUACUUUUAUCUUUUUUAUUUUAAUUUCAGCUAAGGCAAUACAGUUGUUUCUGAAUUAAAAUGAAACAGAGCAUUGCUUGCCCACCUUAAAAAUGCCUCCAAUCUCAGCCUUGCCUGCCUCUGCCACCCUGCAAAUACGAACACGGCUCAAAGCUUUGGCAACUUGUGGCAUCAGAGCAAGCUCAUUUUCUGCCAUCUCCAGGAAAAUCCACCGCAAUUUAGCCUGAGUGUUCUAGAUCCUUUUCCAGAAGUGCAGCACUCUACACUUCGGCCUUAAAAUGUAAUGUUUUGUUGACUACUGUCAGCAGCACUGUCCAGAGCCUGCACUACAUGCAGUCAAGCAGGGAGAAGACUGGUGCUGAAUAAAACAUCUCCUGCCUGGAGCCCUUGGCUCUGAUGGCCUCUACAACACCACCCUGCCCUGUGAGUAAGCGUCCAGCUAGGCUGAUUGGAGAAACAAACAAAGAGAAAACAAGAAGCACAGAGACAAUUGAGUCCAAUGAAUCUGGAAAUUCAAAAAGCUUUUCACCAGUGUCUGAAGAUGGGAAUUUCUCCUAUCUGGUUUCAACAGAACCUGUCAUGUAAGAGACAACUGAGAUUUAAUUUUCAUUUUCUCUUGAAGCUGAACAAAAUGACGAUCCAAUAUUAAGCUUGUUUACAAAAGCUAAGGCUUGAAGUCCUUCCAAAAAUAAUUUUGUUCUACUUUUAUUGAGUCAAAUUAAAUGCAAUGUUCUCACUCAGAUGUUAUCCACAAACAUGACUGUUUACUAAGUCAAAUCCUGUGUUACCACCAGCUUGAUUCAGCAAAUGUGAUGAAUGGGUCUGCUCCCAUCACACAUAAUGGUGGGUGCCUAAUGAGGCAGUGCAAAGCAGCCUCUAAAGAUUCCUGCCUCUCAGCUGGCCACCAAAUGUACAACCGGGCAGUUAACUCCUAGGCAGCAACAGCUACAUGAAAUAAGGCUUAUCUAAAGAUUAGUUCUAUUAGAAACACUGGAUAUCAAAUACUUCUGCUCCCAGAAUAAGAAACCGCAGGGUGAAAGCUUGGUUCUCCUCACUUCUAUGUGAGCUCAUGGCUUCAUGUUAGGGAUUCCAGCUGCAAGCCUCAGCGUGAGCCCUGUCGCUUUCAUCAUACUUUAAAGAGCUUUCCUCAGAACUGCAACAUUUAGAGAUACAGUCAUGAUUUGGUGGUUCUGAGAAGUGUUUUCAGGUCUGGAGGAAAGGUUCUCAUUGAGUCAUGAUGUGCAGGAAGGAACCAGGGAGGAGAUGUGGCCCUUUCACCAGAUUCAGCCAUGAUUAUCAUCUUUAAGAAUAUCAGAUAAUGGCAGUAAAUGAGAUACAAGUAGAGAAGAAAAGAUUUGAGACAUCGUGCACUGGUGAAGAAUUAAAAAUUGAGACUAAGUUAUAAACUGCAAAAUAAGAUGCCUGUUCAUAGAAGCUGGACAGAUUAAUAUGAUGGGAAAAGGUGUCUCACCAGAGGUGCAAUGAUGAAGGACCAGCACGAUAGAAAGGUGCUACAAAGGAAGCAGAGAAGACUGCUUAUCCAUAUCAGAAGAUUCCAGGUGCUCCAUCAGUGGUUCAGGCUGGGACUCAACAGUUCCCAUACAGAAGCCCUCUCUGUGACUAACUUGUUAGCGCUUGUGAAAACAUAGGAGUUGCUAAUCACCAGGGCCUAUUACUCAAAGCACCCUUUAGAGCCUCCUGACAUCUAGCCUUCCUGAGCUUCUUGAGGGAUGAGGAAGGGACAACAACAAGCAAUUUGGGAACGGCAUUACGUCACUCAGCCCCAUCAGAGCCUACAGACUGCAAGAGACGAGAUGGCUCGGUGUGCUGUCACAUCUCCAGCAGCACUGUCAGCAACUGGCACAGGUAGCCAGCAGCCCUGCAUCAGCCAUGUCUUGUCCUGCAGAUCCAUGAGUCCUUCCAAGCUCACUGGUGCUCUCCUUCCAGUUACUCUAAUCCCCAGAGCAUGGUGAUUUUCUGCCAAUUUUGCAUAUGCUGCUGUUUCCAGAAAUUCCAGUUCAGUGUUUACACACAUUUCACAGUGAUCGCUCCUAACAACCAUUGAGAGAUGGUAUUAUCAUGUUUCUAUUUCCUACGAACUGCUGGCUAAGACUGCACUAAAAGUCCUGAGUGCCAGAUGGUCUGAUUUAUGUUAUUUAUUCUUUCAGCAUCUAUACAGAGCCAUAGGUACUUUAUGCAUUUUGUCAUUUUAAAUCAUAAACACUUUGCCACCCUCAAAUUCUGCCAACUGCCUUGGUUAUUACCUUCGCUGCAUCAUCAGUCACCAGUCAGCAUCCCAGGCUUGCCAGCACCACAGCUGAUGUACAGUUCAGGGAACUGCAAAUCCUGAACAACAAGCAUGUCUCAGACAAGCUGAGAUCCACCAACAGCAUCCACCUCCUGCUCCAGGAUUAAUGGAAACCGUUGGCAAGCCCUUCAAAUUUGGUACCUUUCUUCAUGUCUGAGAAUUCCUGUGAUGGAUCCCAAACUGUCAAGCAAAGCCUGCUUGGUGAGCAGCCAGAGUUUUUGCUUGGAAAUCUUCUCAUUGGUCUUGGGCAUCAAGACCAAUACUAUAUAUAUAAUAUAUAUGAUAUAUAUAUAUAUAAUACUAUACUAUAAUAUAUAUAUAUAUAAUACUAUACUUGGAAAUCAAGUAUAUGAAAUACAACAUGAAAUCAGAAGCAUUUACAUUUGUGUGGUUCAGAUUACUUGAAACACUGAGUAGACAGAAACAGGGAGUUUGAAAGCUCGUGUUUUUACUUCUCCCAGCAGACCAUGAGCUGGAAGUGACUGUCAUGAGUACAGGUAGGAAAUACCAGUGUAUUCCUUUCUCAUUUUGAAGUAUGUCUAUGAGGAAAGACUCUUUGCUAACAGCCAAAAAUAAAAGGAAAGCAGAAAGUUAUCAAGCAGUCUUGAAAAGGCCAUUUGAAUUUCCAGCUGAAAAUCAGCAAAUGUCUAAGUAGACACUUCGGGAGCUUUUCUGAACAGAGCUGGAGCCCUUUGCUGCAACAGCAUCCACCUCCUGCUCCAGGAUUAAUGGAAACCCUUGGCAAGCCCUUCAAAUUUGGUACCUUUCUUCACGUCUGAGAAUUCCUGUGAUGGAUCCCAUGGCACAACAGCAAAGUGCUUCCCAGCCAGCUGCGGACCCAGCCAACAGACAAGUGGGAUCUUCACCAUCUGCUGCCUGGAAGCAGCUCAACAGGACUCAUUUCAUCAAGAAAACAAUGAAGGCAACUGUCAUGUUACUUACAUUGUAUUUAACUACAAAAGCCCCAACACCUCCAUUUCUUCCAAGGCCCAGGCUUUAAGGCCAGAGCUGCCAGCUCCCCUGGUGCUGCCACGACCCUGGUCCCAAGCAGCUCCUCUGCACUCUGAGUUAGGGGCAACAAGCACAAAGUGAGAUCAGAAGAGCAUGACAAGCAUUUCAGCAUUAUUAAACGUAUCCAAACAUUUUAUUUAUGGACUGCAAUUUGAUUUUGCUUCUAUUUGUUAUAGUGUUUACUGAGCCAUUAGAUUUAAAAAAAUAUCUACUGGGAUGGAAAAAAGCUGGGGGCUGCUUCAUUGAGACCAGCAGGCAUGAGGAUGGUCCGGUUUUAUUAUUUACUGGGCCACUUAGCUUCUUUGCCACCAGUGUUGCUCAAGUGCAGUGCAUCUACCCAACGGCCAACAGAAUUGCUUCUGUGCCACAGGACAAAGAGAUGUGACCUCACAGGCCAGUCACAAUGGCAGAGCAAUAGCUGACAUGUUGUUUAUAUGGAAAACAGAAAAUUUCAACUGCUUUAAGAGGUGAAACAUUCUGUAUCAGAUAACAUAGUCAUCAGUCUAUGCUCCUUGGAGGCUAGUAACUCUUGUUGAGCAUCUCACCUAGGAAGAAAGCUUGGCUGUCUGGAGUAAGUGCUAAUUAACUAAAACUCAGUUUUGAAAAAGAGUAUCUGCAGAGGAGAGUUUGGCAAAUGUUUCUUUUCUGAAGCAUUUAAUUUAUCUGAACAAAACACUGC